rnacentral:rRNA from 1 species
ACUCAAAGGAAUAGACGGGGGCCCGCACAAGCAGCGGAGCGUGUGGUUUAAUUCGAGGCUACACGAAGAACCUUACCUGGGCUGGACAUGCCCGUGGUAGCCGCGUGAAAACGGGGCGACCUUCGGGAGCGGGGACAGGUGCUGCAUGGCUGUCGUCAGCUCGUGUCGUGAGAUGUUCGGUUAAGUCCGGUAACGAGCGCAACCCUCGGGGGUAGUUACAAGUGUCUACCCCGACAGCCCGGUGCAACUGGGAGGAAGGUGGGGAUGACGUCAAGUCAGCAUGGCCUUGAUGCCCAGGGCGACACACACGCUACAAUGGUCGGGACAAUGGGUCGCCAACCCGCGAGGGGGAGCCAAUCCAGCAAAGCCGACCUCAGUGCGGAUUGCAGGCUGCAACUCGCCUGCAUGAAGUGGGAGUUGCUAGUAAACGCGCAUCAGCCAUGGCGCGUUGAAUACGUUCCCGGGCCUUGUACACACCGCCCGU